UUUUAGUCCUUUAUAACACAAACCAAAAAAGGAAGGAAAGAAAGAAAGAAAAGCCUUUGCCAAACACUCCCCACAGAGGAGAAACCUUGUGGAUUCUAGAAGAACAGAGAGUGCUCUGAAAGGCAGGGAUAUUGCUGGCAGGUGUGGCUCUGAGGGCCCUGGUCGGUGUGGAGGAAGGUGGGAGGUGCCCCUGGUGGAGAGCCAGACCUAGAAGAACACAGGUGAAGUGGGAGAAGACACAUCUAAUGAAAUUGGGAGAAUGAUGCAGGGAGACAUGCCCCGCCUUCAGAGAUCUUGGACAAGCCAUGGCUGGCCUGAGAAAUGGCCCACUGGACACAUCAGGUGCUGAGGCAGCAAGUGUCCGUGUUCCAGGCAGAUGGUCCACCCAGAUGUGGCCAGCGGGUGAGGAGUCUUUCCAAGCUCGCCCUUCAGCUUCCGUUUUUGCCUGCAGAAUAGCUCCAGGCCAGCGUUUUCUGCCAUCACAGCUCUGGAGCACAGUCUCUGUGUUGUUCUUUUUGUUUGCCUUUUCUAGGGCCGUUCCUCCGGCAUAUGGAGGUUCCUAGGCUAGGGGUCUAAUCAGAA